UACAGAGGUCUCAAGCGUUUGUUCGGAUUCAUUGGGGCGUAAAGGGUGUGUAGGUGGCGCCGUAAGUCGGGGUGUGAAAUUUCGGGAGCUUAACUCCGAAACUGCAUUCGAUACUGCGGUGCUUGAGGACUGGAGAGGAGACUGGAAUUCAUGGUGUAGCAGUGAAAUGCGUAGAGAUCAUGAGGAAGACCAGUGGCGAAGGCGGGUCUCUGGACAGUUCCUGACACUGAGGCAACGAAGGCCAGGGGAGCAAACGGG
rnacentral:rRNA from 1 species